UACUUUGACAAGAGACUGACAAAGUUGUUUUGGGGUUUGUGUGGCACAACAGCGCUAAUAGUGGUAUUUUAUUACAAUGACGGGCAGUUCUAAAAUUGUGUGUUACGACGACGGUAAUUUUGAAGAAAGCUUAACACAGUGAUUUGACAAAGAUGAAUGUUAGUUAGCUGAUUAUGAAGACCAUCAAGACAAAAAAAUUUUCCAGAGAGUGACCACAAUUUCGAUUCGAAUGAGCGAACAGGAGGAUGAUACUGAAAUACAGAAAUCAAAAUGGAAAGCGGUGAUACUGAAAAUGAAAGUGAUAGAGGCGACGAGAGUAAUCAACCGCAAGGCAGAGAAUGAUCAAGGAAUGUAGAUAAAUGAAAGGCCACAAAAUAUUAACAUGCACGUCUGGCAGGUGAAUCUUACAUCAGUAGUACAUCGGGUAACAUUAAAGAGGCUAAGAAACCUGACCCUCCUUGUGUAUGUAAGCUGAAGUGCACGGAGAAGUUUUGCGAAGAAUUUAAAAAUGAUAUUACUGCCAAGUUAUAUGCUGGUCAACAUAAAAAUGAGCAAGAUACAUUCCUAAUAGGUCUAUAAUGCUAAACGAGUGGCAGCCGCUGAGUUAAUGGUUCACAAAAGGCGUGCAAAAAAAUAUUAUAAUAAGUUGCAAGACGUUCAAAAAUUAUGUCAAGAUGAUACCCAAGUGGCCGGUUUUACUUUUGACUACAUGCAAAACCUACCACUUCCAAAUAUUUCAGUACAGAAAAUCUUUUACUAUAGGCAGUUAUAGGUAUACUUAUUUGAGAUCCAUAAUCUAACGGACUCCAGUGGAUACUUUUAUACCUAUCAUGAGGGCCAGGCUAAAAAGUGGCCAGAUGAAAUGUGUACUUUUGUACAUGAUUAUAUACAAAACCACAUACCAGCAGAGGUUCAAGAAUUGCAUAUUUUUUCAGAUGGUUGUCCUGGACAAAACCGAAAUAAUACUAUGGUUCGAUUUUUGCUGGCUCUUUAGGAAACUGGACGUUUUUCAAAAAUUCAUCACUAUUUCCCACUUUGAGAACACUCUUUCCUUUCUUGUGACCGCGAUUUUGAUACAUUAAAGAGGUUAGUCAAAAAGCACGACAGGUUUUAUCUUCCAGAAGAAUACGAAAGAAUGAUUUUAAGAAGUAGAAUCACCAAGCCAUUUCAGUUUAAAAGGAUCUCGUACCAUGAUAUUAUUAACUACAAGAACUGGUGGCCACAGUAUUACAAAAAAAGCUGUAAGCCUAUUGAAAAGAGAAAUAACAAUGUAUUCAGUGUUUCAAAAUAUUGUGAAUUUACGUUUGAUGCUAUAACCCCAGGUCAUGUAACAGUUUUUGAAUUCAUUGGCGGUGCAUUUUCCUCCAGUUUUAAACUGGUUAAACUGAAUGUAAGGCCAGAGCUUCCAAAUGACAAAGCCUAUUCCGAAGCAGUACCUAUCAUCAUGUCUAUUGUACAUGACAAAAUCCAGGACUUAAAGAAAGU